UUUGUACCUCUCUGCUCCUUGUGACAACAUUCCAUCAACAGAGAGGUGAAGCUCAAAGAAUUCUCCCAGAAAGAAAGUCACUCCUUUCCUCUUUCCAUGAGAGAAAUCGGCUAGAUGUAAACACACAGACACAAGAAGGCUUUUACCCAGUAUGGAGAAGCUUCUGUGUUGGCAGUCUCCCGCCAGCAUGUAGCUGCAGUCUCCAGGGAACUCAUAAAUCACACCGUCAAAUGUGUGUAUAUGCUGCCGGCUAAACAGACUACAGCGACCGGAUCCCUCGACAGUCACAAAACCUACAGAACAAAGAGGACAAACAUGCUCAACUCUCACCUGAAAAAUUCAAGACGAAAACCCAUAGGAUUCUGCUCCAUCCUUUCCAUCUACACGACUCCAUCUGAUUAAAGAAAAAGAAGAAAUCCUGAGAGAUUUAGCCCAGUAAUCACCUGAAACACC